rnacentral:rRNA from 1 species
AGUAAAUAGAUACCCCGGUAGUCCACGCCGUAAACGAUGUCGACUUGGAGGUUGUGCCCUUGAGGCGUGGCUUCCGGAGCUAAACGCGUUAAAGUCGACCGCCUGGGGAGUACGGCCGCAAGGUUAAAACUCAAAUGAAUUGACGGGGGCCCGCACAAGCGGUGGAGCAUGUGGUUUAAUUCGAUGCAACGCGAAGAACCUUACCUACUCUUGACAUCCAGAGAACUUUCCAGAGAUGGAUUGGUGCCUUCGGGAACUCUGAGACAGGUGCUGCAUGGCUGUCGUCAGCUCGUGUUGUGAAAUGUUGGGUUAAGUCCCGCAACGAGCGCAACCCUUAUCUUUUGUUGCCAGCGGUUAGGCCGGGAACUCAAAGGAGACUGCCAGUGAUAAACUGGAGGAAGGUGGGGAUGACGUCAAGUCAUCAUGGCCUUACGAGUAGGGCUACACACGUGCUACAAUGGCGCAUACAAAGAGAAGCGACCUCGCGAGAGCAAGCGGACCUCAUAAAGUGCGUCGUAGUCCGGAUUGGAGUCUGC